rnacentral:rRNA from 1 species
UACGGGGGGAGCAAGCGUUGUUCGGAUUUACUGGGCGUAAAGGGCGCGUAGGCGGUCAGCACAAGUCAGUUGUGAAAUCUCCGGGCUUAACUCGGAAAGGUCAACUGAUACUGUGCGACUAGAGUGCAGAAGGGGCAACUGGAAUUCUCGGUGUAGCGGUGAAAUGCGUAGAUAUCGAGAGGAACACCUGCGGCGAAGGCGGGUUGCUGGGCUGACACUUACGCUGAUGCGCGAAAGCCAGGGGAGCGAACGGG